rnacentral:rRNA from 1 species
AAGAAACAUCUGCCCUGAACGCACCCGAUCUUGUCUGAUCUCGGAAGCUAAGCAGGGUUAGGCCUGGUUAGUACUUGGAUGGGAGAAAUAUCUGGGAAGACUUCUGGGAAGGCUACUUA